AUGGAGACAGUGGUCACAACUCUCCCCCGGAGAAGGCGGUGUGGGGCCAUCACUGAAGAUGCUGUUGCUUCUGCUGCUUCUGGGGACAGCGGGCUCCGGGCUUGGUGCUGUCAUCUCUCAAUCUCCGAGCAGGGUUAUCUGUAAGAGAGGAACCUCUGUGAAGAUCGAGUGCCGUUGCCUGGACUUUCAGGCCACAACUAUGUUUUGGUAUCGUCAGUUCCGGAAACAGAGCCUCAUACUCAUGGCAACUUCCAAUGAGGGCUCCAGUGUCACAUACGAGCAAGGCAUCAAGAAGGACAAGUUUCCCAUCAACCAUCCAAACCUGACCUUCUCCACUCUGACAGUGACCAAUGCCCAUCCUGAAGACAGCAGCUUCUACCUCUGCAGUGCUAGAGACACAGCACCAGAAAGGGAUCAGAGACCGCGGCAAGAACCCCCUGCAGCUGCCCCUCUGCCCCAGCAGGUCCCCUGAGUGCUGAGAGGGGAGGCAUGGAGAUGGAAAACCACAGCUUUCCUGACUGAGACAUCUGGGUGUGUGUGUGUAGGGGGUGGGGCGGGGUGGGGAGAGAGAAGGAAAAGAAGCCCUGUGAGUGUGGAGUGUGGAGGAGCUGUAAUGUUUGAGACCCAUGAAAUGGCCAUAGAGUUGGGCCUAAAGUGGUCAGUGGACACGGAAGCUUCCCUGAAAAUUAUAAAACCUGGAAUUUUGCCCUGACUCUGCCACAUUAGUCAUGUGUUCUUGAAUAGAUCUACACACAAUCCUAGAGGUAGAUAUGAAGACAGUUGUAUAAUCACUGCGUAUUUCCUAUAAUAAACUUCAGCG